AUUGAACGCUGGCGGCAGGCCUAACACAUGCAAGUCGAACGGGUGGCGGACGGGUGAGUAAUGUCUUGGAAACUGCCUGAUGGAGGGGGAUAACUACGGGAAACGGUAGCUAAUACCGCAUACCACGCUUUGGGCCCAGAUGGGAUUAGCUUGUUGGUGGGGUAACGGCGCACCAAGGCGACGAUCCCUAGCUGGUCUGAGAGGAUGACCAGCCACACUGGAACUGAGACACGGUCCAGACUCCUACGGGAGGCAGCAGUGGGGAAUAUUGCACAAUGGGCGCAAGCCUGAUGCAGCCAUGCCGCGUGUAUGAAGAAGGCCUUCGGGUUGUAAAGCACUUUCGGCGGGGAGGCGUUACCCGCAGAAGAAGCACCGGCUAACUCCGUGCCAGCAGCCGCGGUAAUAC
rnacentral:rRNA from 1 species